rnacentral:tRNA from 1 species
UCCCUAGAGGACUAGUGGUUAGGCCACAGCCCUGUCACUGCUGCAGCCUGGGUUUGAUUCCUGGCCAGGGAA